UGGUGCAUGGUUGUCGUCAGCUCGUGUCGUGAGAUGUUGGGUUAAGUCCCGCAACGAGCGCAACCCUACGUUUAGUUGCUAACGCGUGAAGGCGAGCACUCUAGACGAACUGCCGUUGACAAAACGGAGGAAGGUGGGGAUGACGUCAAAUCAUCAUGCCCCUUAUGUUCUGGGCUACACACGUGCUACAAUGGCCGGUACAGACGGACGCAAAGCCGCGAGGUGGAGCAAAUCCUAAGAAGCCGGUCUCAGUUCGGAUUGCAGGCUGCAAUUCGCCUGCAUGAAGUCGGAAUCGCUAGUAAUCGCAGGUCAGCAUACUGCGGUGAAUACGUUCCCGGGCCUU
rnacentral:rRNA from 1 species